UACAGAGGUCUCAAGCGUUGUUCGGAUUCAUUGGGCGUAAAGGGUGCGUAGGCGGCGCGGUAAGUCGGGUGUGAAAAUCUCGGGGCUUAACUCCGAAAACUGCCAUUCGAUACUGCCGUGCUUGAGGGACUGGAGAGGAGACUGGAAUUUACGGUGUAGCGGUGAAAUGCGUAGAUAUCGUAAGGAAGACCAGUGGCGAAGGCGGGUCUCUGGACAGUUCCUGACGCUGAGGCACGAAGGUCAGGGGAGCAAACGGG
rnacentral:rRNA from 1 species